UCCAGACUCCUACGGGAGGCAGCAGUGGGGAAUAUUGCACAAUGGGGGGAACCCUGAUGCAGCGACGCCGCGUGGGUGAAGGAGCACCUCGGUGCGUAAAGCCCUAUCGGCAGGGAAGAAAAGGGAACAGGUUCGCCUGGACGGUACCUGACUAAGAAGCCCCGGCUAACUACGUGCCAGCAGCCGCGGGAAUACGCAGGGGGCAAGCGGUAUCCGGAUUUACUGGGUGUAAAGGGGGCGCAGACGGCGAGGCAAGCCAAGAGUGAAAGCGCGGGGCCCAACCCCGGGACUGCUCUUGGAACUGCGUGGCUGGGGUGCAGGAGGGGCAGGCGGAAUUCCUGGUGUAGCGGUGAAAUGCGUAGAUAUCAGGAGGAACACCGGUGGCGAAGGCGGCCUGCUGGACUGCAACUGACGUUGAGGCCCGAAAGCGUGGGGAGCAAACAGGAUUAGAUACCCGAGUA
rnacentral:rRNA from 1 species